AAUACAACGUGAGCGUUGCGUUAGCAAAGUUUUGUGUGAAGCGAGCAGAGUGUGGUCGACGUUUUCUGUGCUCUCAUUAUAGUGAUUGUCUUUUUGAGACUUUAAUUUUAAAUAUAUUCUGCUUUGCGCUUAUAAGAAGGUGUUUUGGAGAAGAAAAGCGAUCCUUCGAUAUCAUUAUUUUUACUUUUUAAAGAACUUUAUGCGGAGCGAGAAGAAGGGAAAGCUGCCCAGUUUCUCAAGAAGAGAUUUUUUUUCUCAAGUUAUUUUUCGUCGGACAUGUGUGUAAAAAUGAUGACAAUUAAAGCGAAGAGAAUGAAAACGAGUUAUCUGCGGAAAAACAUGAAGUUUGGCUCCAAGUUGACGUUGAGGCUUUUCCCAGUGUCCGCGGAGGAGGACGAGGCCCUCAAACAGAGUCGAGCCACCACGGUGAGGACCACCAUUCGAAAAUACCUCCCCCGGGAACGGAGACGGGCUCAGCAGGACGGCCUCUGCGGCCUGCAGGGCCACACGGGCAGAAAGAAUGGGGAUUUCAUGUAUGAGGAAAGUACCGCCACGGCCUGUGUGCACCGUCAUCCAGCUGGUGUAAUGGCGCCGGAAAACACCACGCAGUACCUGAUGGGAAACCUGUAUGAAGACAUGAAUAUUGACAUUAACAAGUCAGUUCAGGAUUCACAGGAAGUAGCUGCUCAACAGUUUAGCGAAUGUCCUUCACCGACGAGCUCAUGUACUGCCCUGGACUCUGAGAGCUACCUUGCGUUUCAAGAGCGGAACUUUGAUGAGGCCUGUGAAAUGUUUUGGUAACCAGGACGAACUUCGUGAGCGUGGCCCGGCUCCCUCAGCAGCCCGACUUUAAUUCAGCUCAUUGUUAAAAGCGGCGCGCCUUUGCACGCUGCCCGCCCGCCCACUGGGGAGCGCUACCGAGCCCUGCGUGCCGCCGCCUGGAGGGAAUCGACCAAACGGCUGGGCCCGGCUCUGCUGCGCUAUGCUCGGCUCUGGUCUCUUCACGGAUUGUAAAAUCCAGGUAAACCCGGGCAGGUAUUGUUAGCAGUGCAUUGUCAUUGAUGGCAAUAGUCGAUGGUGAUUGGAUGUUCCACAGUCACUGUUGUCUGAGCGUUUUCCAGGUCGCCCCUGCUAGGACACGUGGCUCAGCUGUGGGAGGAGCAUGAAGCAAAGGAGGUCGGUCUUCACGUGACUGACACAAGGUGACACUUCAAACUGAAAGGGCCAUAAUGGCGAGAUAAUCAUGUGUAUGUCAUUUUAAUGAUAUAAUUUAAUAUUGUAUUGAAACUUUGAUUGCAAAGUGAUGGUGAAUGUGGAGUUUAAUCUUCAAUAAAAUUAUCUGUUACACUGGAAAUGUAA